UGUUGUGAAUUGAUGAACUUCGUUUUGAUUUAGUGUUGAACAAGUUUGUGGGCUUCUGUUUAAUCGUACAUGGUUUUUUUGGUUGUGGUCGUUCACAUGCUUAAGUCUCAUAAAUGUAAGCUCACAUGGAAAGGAUUCUCUCUGAAGCUUUUAUGCAAUUUGACGUAGGUGGCCAAGAGCUUGGAGGAAUGCAUUAUGUCACAUUAUUCUUGCUUAUCGAUGUAACCUAUAAUCUGUUUAGCAACGUUAAGAGUAAGUGCACUAUCUCUCAUUCGGUUC